GACGAACGCUGGCGGCGUGCCUAAUACAUGCAAGUCGAGCGAAUCAAUAGGAGCUUGCUCCUGUUGGUUAGCGGCGGACGGGUGAGUAACACGUGGGCAACCUGCCUGUAAGACUGGGAUAACACCGGGAAACCGGUGCUAAUACCGGAUAAUCCUUUUCCUCUCAUGAGGAAAAGCUGAAAGUCGGUUUCGGCUGACACUUACAGAUGGGCCCGCGCCGCAUUAGCUAGUUGGUGAGGUAACGGCUCACCAAGGCGACGAUGCGUAGCCGACCUGAGAGGGUGAUCGGCCACACUGGGACUGAGACACGGCCCAGACUCCGACGGGAGGCAGCAGUAGGGAAUCUUCCACAAUGGACGAAAGUCUGAUGGAGCGACGCCGCGUGAGUGAUGAAGGCCUUCGGGUCGUAAAGCUCUGUUGUUAGGGAAGAACAAGUACCGGAGUAACUGCCGGUACCUUGACGGUACCUAACCAGAAAGCCACGGCUAACUACGUGCCAGCCGCCGCUGUAAUAC
rnacentral:rRNA from 1 species